rnacentral:rRNA from 1 species
UAGAGUUUGAUCCUGGCUCAGGAUGAACGCUAGCUACAGGCUUAACACAUGCAAGUCGAGGGGAAACGGCAUUGAGUGCUUGCACUCUUUGGACGUCGACCGGCGCACGGGUGAGUAACGCGUAUCCAACCUUCCCAUUACUGUGGGAUAACCUGCCGAAAGGCAGACUAAUACCGCAUAGUCUUCGAUGACGGCAUCAGAUUUGAAGUAAAGAUUUAUCGGUAAUGGAUGGGGAUGCGUCUGAUUAGCUUGUUGGCGGGGUAACGGCCCACCAAGGCGACGAUCAGUAGGGGUUCUGAGAGGAAGGUCCCCCACAUUGGAACUGAGACACGGUCCAAACUCCUACGGGAGGCAGCAGUGAGGAAUAUUGGUCAAUGGACGGAAGUCUGAACCAGCCAAGUAGCGUGCAGGAAGACGGCCCUAUGGGUUGUAAACUGCUUUUGUAUGGGGAUAAAGUUAGGGACGUGUCCCUAUUUGCAGGUACCAUACGAAUAAGGACCGGCUAAUUCCGUGCCAGCAGCCGCGGUAAUACGGAAGGUCCAGGCGUUAUCCGGAUUUAUUGGGUUUAAAGGGAGCGUAGGCUGGAGAUUAAGUGUGUUGUGAAAUGUAGACGCUCAACGUCUGAAUUGCAGCGCAUACUGGUUUCCUUGAGUACGCACAACGUUGGCGGAAUUCGUCGUGUAGCGGUGAAAUGCUUAGAUAUGACGAAGAACUCCGAUUGCGAAGGCAGCUGACGGGAGCGCAACUGACGCUUAAGCUCGAAGGUGCGGGUAUCAAACAGGAUUAGAUACCCUGGUAGUCCGCACAGUAAACG